AAAUUGAAGAGUUUGAUCAUGGCUCAGGUGAACGCUGGCAGGCGGGCUGGCGUGGUAACGAAGCAUGGGGUGCGGCGGUGGCGGACGGUGGUAAUGUCUGGGAAACUGCACGGUGGAGGGAUAACUUACUGGAAACGGUGGCUAAUACCGCAUAAUGUCGCAAGACCAAGAGGGGACACGCGCUUCGGGCCUCUUGCCAUCAGGCUUAUUGCCCAGAUGGGAUUAGCUUGUUGGUGGUAACGGCUCACCAAGGCGACGCGAUACUCUAACUGGUCUGAGAGAGAUGACCAGCCACACUGGAACUGAGACACGGUCCAGACUCCUACGGGAGGCAGCAGUGGGGAAAUAUUGCACAAUGAGCGCAAGCCUGAUGCAACCAUGCCGCGUGUAUGAAGAAGGCCUUCCGGGUUUACGUAAAGUACUUUUCAGCGGGGAGGAAGGUGUUGUGGUUAAUAACCGCAGCAAUUGACGUUACCCGCAGAAGCUUUCGGCUAACUCCGUGCCAGCGGCAGCCGCGGUAAUACGGAGGGUGCAACGUUAAUCGGAAUUACUGGGCGUAAAGCGCACGCAGGCGAUGCUGUCAAGUCGGAUGUGAAAUCCCCGGGCUCAACACGGGAACUGCAUUCCGAAACUGGCAGGCUUGAGUGCUUGGCAGAGGGGGUAGAAUUCCGGUGGCAGCGGUGAAAUGCGUAGAGAUCUGGAGGAGGAAUACCGGUGGCGAAGGCGGCCCCACGGACAAAGACGACGCUCGGAAUUGCAGCGUGGGGAGCAAACAGGAUUAGAUACCUGUUGGUCCACGCGCCGUAAACGCGAUGUCUGCGGGAGGUUGUGCCCCUUGAGGCGUGGCGCUUCCGGAGCUAACGCGUUAAGUAGACCGCACGGGGAGUACGGCCGCAAAAGGUUAAAACUCAAAUGGAAUUGACGGGGGCCGCACAAGCGGUGGAGCAUGUGGUUUAAUUCGAUACAACGCGAAGAACCUUACACGAGUGUGACAUCCACAGAACUUUCCAGAGAUGGAUUGGUGCCUUCGGAACUGUGAGACAGGUGCUGCGCAUGGCUGUCGUCAGCUCAUUGUUGUGAAAUGUUGGUUAAGUCACAACGAGCGCAACCCUUAUCGCACUUUGUUGCCAGCGGUCCGGCCGGGAACUCAAAGGAGACUGCCAGUGAUAAACUGGAGGAAGGUGGGGAUGACGUCAAGUCAUCAUGGCCCCUUACGACGGGGCUACACACGUGCUACAAUGGCAUAUACAAGAAGCGACCUCGCGAGCAAGCGGACCUCAUAAAGUAUGUCGUAGUCGGAUUGGAGUCUGCAACUCGACUCCAUGAAGUCGGAAUCGCUAGUAUCGUGGAUCAGAAUGCCACGGUGAAUACGUUCCCGGGCGCCCAUGCGUCACGCCAUGGGGUGGGUUACGCAAAAGAAGGUAACAGCAACUUCGGGAGGGGCGCUUACCACUGUGAUUCAUGACUAGAGGUGGUCGUAACAAGGUAACCGUAGGGGAACCUGCGGUUGGAUCACCUCCUUA
rnacentral:rRNA from 1 species